rnacentral:lncRNA from 1 species
CGUUAAGGACCUUUGUGGCCUCCUUGAAAAAUGUCUGUUACCCAGUCUUCAGAGUGAUUAGGAAAGCUAUCAGUCAUGAUUAAGAUUUCCUCUUCACAGGUGGAAGAACGGUCCGGGGAACUACGAACCCAGGGUUAUCAAGGCUUACGGGGCUGAAAGCCCAGAAUGACUCAGUGCUACAUGUUUUAAGGGAACCAAUAAAGAUCAUUAUUGUUACUCAGCAAUGACAUUCCUGCCACACAAUGCAGGCUCUCUACAUUUCUAUUUACAAUCUUCAUGUUAAGCCCCAAGUAAUAUUUAGAUUGUUGUGUAAAACCCUAAAUUCUGCUCCAAAAGAAGAUUGUGCCAAACCCAUCUAUCUGAGUCCUUCCCACUGAACUCCUCAUCUUCUUACCCAGAGGUAGCCUUUCAAUCAAUUCCUCCAGAAAUCCUACUAAACAAAGAACAGCUGACUGCAUUUGAAUGCUCAAGACCUAAAUUGAAUGGGGAAGGAAAGGGUUACACAAAAAAACACACCAGCCAACUGGCUUCAACUCACUUGAAAUAUGAGAGAUUCUAAAAGGCACCUUUCAUGAAUAAGGUUGGAAAAGGACUCUACUCAGUUAAAUUCUUUGAACACUCAUGACAAAAGCCUACCCUAUAUCCAGGAGAAGUUGAGUAUAAAUGGGGAGAGACUGCACUGAAAAAAUUGAAAAGUAAAUUAUUACAUGCAAAGCAUGUACCUUUGCAUGAAAACAGAAUUUUAUGACUGUACCAUCUCUGUCUAUUAGCCAAUAAAGUUUUAAAUGAUA